ACAGCAGUCGCCGCGGUAAUACAGAGGGUGCAAGCGUUAAUCGGAAUUACUGGGCGUAAAGCGCGCGUAGGUGGUUUGUUAAGUUGGAUGUGAAAUCCCCGGGCUCAACCUGGGAACUGCAUCCAAAACUGGCAGGCUAGAGUAGGGCAGAGGGUGGUGGAAUUUCCUGUGUAGCGGUGAAAUGCGUAGAUAUAGGAAGGAACACCAGUGGCGAAGGCGACCACCUGGGCUCAUACUGACACUGAGGUGCGAAAGCGUGGGGAGCAAACAGGAUUAGAUACCCGCGUAGUCCCUGUCUCUUAUAC
rnacentral:rRNA from 1 species